UACGAAGGGGGCUAGCGUUGCUCGGAAUUACUGGGCGUAAAGCGCACGUAGGCGGAUCUUUAAGUCAGGGGUGAAAUCCUGGAGCUCAACUCCAGAACUGCCUUUGAUACUGAGGACCUUGAGUUCGGGAGAGGUGAGUGGAACUGCGAGUGUAGAGGUGAAAUUCGUAGAUAUUCGCAAGAACACCAGUGGCGAAGGCGGCUCACUGGCCCGAUACUGACGCUGAGGCACGAAAGCGUGGGGAGCAAACAGG
rnacentral:rRNA from 1 species